GACGAACGCUGGCGGCGUGCCUAAUACGUGCAAGUCGAGCGAACUUGCGGGAGCUUGCUCCCAAAAGUUAGCGGCGGACGGGUGAGUAACACGUGGGCAACCUGCCUAUAAGACUGGGAUAACUUCGGGAAACCGGAGCUAAUACCGGAUAAUUCUUUUCUACUCAUGUAGGAAAGCUGAAAGAUGGUUUCGGCUAUCACUUAUAGAUGGGCCCGCGGCGCAUUAGCUAGUUGGUGAGGUAACGGCUCACCAAGGCGACGAUGCGUAGCCGACCUGAGAGGGUGAUCGGCCACACUGGGACUGAGACACGGCCCAGACUCCGACGGGAGGCAGCAGUAGGGAAUCUUCCGCAAUGGACGAAAGUCUGACGGAGCAACGCCGCGUGAGUGAUGAAGGUUUUCGGAUCGUAAAACUCUGUUGUUAGGGAAGAACAAGUACUAGAGUAACUGCUAGUACCUUGACGGUACCUAACCAGAAAGCCACGGCUAACUACGUGCCAGCCGCCGCGGUAAUAC
rnacentral:rRNA from 1 species